UCCAGACUCCUACGGGAGGCAGCAGUGAGGAAUAUUGGUCAAUGGGCGCGAGCCUGAACCAGCCAAGUCGCGUGAGGGAGGACGGCCCUACGGGUUGUAAACCUCUUUUGCCGGGGAGCAACGGGCGCCACGUGUGGCGCCACUGAGAGUACCCGGAGAAAAAGCAUCGGCUAACUCCGUGCCAGCAGCCGCGGUAAUACGGAGGGUGCGAGCGUUAAUCGGAAUUACUGGGCGUAAAGCGCACGUAGGCUGUAUGACAAGUCAAGGGUGAAAUGCCACGGCUCAACCGUGGAACUGCCUUUGAAACUGUCAAACUGGAGUAUGUGAGAGGGCGGCGGAAUUCCUGGUGUAGGAGUGAAAUCCGUAGAUAUCAGGAGGAACAUCAGUGGCGAAGGCGGCCGCCUGGCACAAAACUGACGCUGAGGUGCGAAAGCGUGGGUAGCAAACAGGAUUAGAUACCCCGGUAC
rnacentral:rRNA from 1 species